GAGUAGCGCGUGCGUGCGGGAGAGCCAGGUUCCCGGGUAUCCUGCCUGGCCCCACCCUCAGGAAGAUCCAGCAUCUUCUCUGGGCCUGAAGAGAUGUGCCCUCAGACCAGCAAGGCAGUCCAUUUCGUGUAUGCUCUGACACCCUUAGGACCCAAGAGCCUGAAAGUGUCACCUGACAAAAGAGGCCACAGGGAAGCACAGACUGCCGUAUUGCUACUGCUGUGUCCAUACCUGCAUCCACGUCAUUGGGCCAUCCACUAGACUGGCUGCUGCCAGCUGCUGGGGAGCGGCCUGUCCCAGGAUAGAACACGUCAUCAACUGGGCUCUCCAUCUCACUGUCAUCGAUGGACUUGGGGCGCUUGGUGGUGCUGAAGAGGAAGAAGCAAGUCAAGUGGGCCAAAGUUCCAGGCCCCCAGUUCCUGGAGUAGAAACACCUCCAGACCUGCUCUCCCUCGGGCUGCCAUCAAAGAACAGACAAAACACCUUCAUCUGCCUUCUACACCCCGCCCACUAUUUCCUAUCAGCUCUCAGCUGUGCCAUGGAACUCAGUCAUUAAAGACUGUUUUAAGUCAA